rnacentral:rRNA from 1 species
AAAGAAGUAAAUAAGGGCGUAUGGUGGAUGCCUAGGCUCUCAGAGGCGAAGAAGGACGUGAUAAGCUGCGAUAAGCCGAGGUGAGGUGCAAAUAACCUAUUAACCUUGGAUUU